UAGGGAAUCUUCGGCAAUGGGGGGAACCCUGACCGAGCAACGCCGCGUGUGUGUAGAAGGUUCUCGGAUCGUAAAGCUCUGUUGUUAAGGAAGAACGAGUGUGAGAAUGGAAAGUUCAUGCUGUGACGGUACUUAACCAGAAAGGGACGGCUAACUACGUUCCAGCAGCCGCGGUAAUACGUAGGUCCCGAGCGUUGUCCGGAUUUAUUGGGCGUAAAGCGAGCGCAGGCGGUUAGAUAAGUCUGAAGUGAAAGGCAGUGGCUCAACCAUUGUAGGCUUUGGAAACUGUUUAACUGGAGUGCAGAAGGGGAGAGUGGAAUUCCAUGUGUAGCGGUGAAAUGCGUAGAUAUAUGGAGGAACACCGGUGGAGAAAGCGGCUCUCUGGUCUGUAACUGACGCUGAGGCUCGAAAGCGUGGGUAGCAAACAGG
rnacentral:rRNA from 1 species